rnacentral:rRNA from 1 species
GUCCACGCCGUAAACGGUGGGUACUAGGUGUGGGUUUCCUUCCUUGGGAUCCGUGCCGUAGCUAACGCAUUAAGUACCCCGCCUGGGGAGUACGGCCGCAAGGCUAAAACUCAAAGAAAUUGACGGGGGCCCGCACAAGCGGCGGAGCAUGUGGAUUAAUUCGAUGCAACGCGAAGAACCUUACCUGGGUUUGACAUGCACAGGACGUGCCUAGAGAUAGGUAUUCCCUUGUGGUCUGUGUGCAGGUGGUGCAUGGCUGUCGU